AGUGAACGCUGGCGGUAGGCCUAACACAUGCAAGUCGAACGGCAGCACAGUAAGAGCUUGCUCUUACGGGUGGCGAGUGGCGGACGGGUGAGGAAUACAUCGGAAUCUACUUUUUCGUGGGGGAUAACGUAGGGAAACUUACGCUAAUACCGCAUACGACCUACGGGUGAAAGCAGGGGAUCCUCGGACCUUGCGCGAUUGAAUGAGCCGAUGUCGGAUUAGCUAGUUGGCGGGGUAAAGGCCCACCAAGGCGACGAUCCGUAGCUGGUCUGAGAGGAUGAUCAGCCACACUGGAACUGAGACACGGUCCAGACUCCUACGGGAGGCAGCAGUGGGGAAUAUUGGACAAUGGGCGCAAGCCUGAUCCAGCCAUACCGCGUGGGUGAAGAAGGCCUUCGGGUUGUAAAGCCCUUUUGUUGGGAAAGAAAAGCAGCAGGUUAAUACCCCGCUGUUCUGACGGUACCCAAAGAAUAAGCACCGGCUAACUUCGCG
rnacentral:rRNA from 1 species